UACGUACUGUGCGAACGUUAUUCGGAAUCACUGGGCUUAAAGGGUGCGUAGGCGGUUCAGCAAGUCAGGUGUGAAAGCCCCCGGCCCAACCGGGGAAUUGCGCUUGAAACUGCUGAACUUGAGUGCAAUAGGGGUGUGCGGAACUUCCAGUGGAGCGGUGAAAUGUGUUGAUAUUGGAAGGAACGCCGGUGGCGAAAGCGGCACACUGGGUUGUAACUGACGCUGAGGCACGAAAGCCAGGGGAGCGAACGGG
rnacentral:rRNA from 1 species